UAACAGUGAUGAGCUUCAACUUCAUGGUCCGUGUUUUUGAAACUCUGUGAUAUUUAUUGAAGUUCUGAGUUA
ensembl:snoRNA SNORD18 Small nucleolar RNA SNORD18